rnacentral:lncRNA from 1 species
AGGGGGAUAUGGGGCCAUAUGGGGGGAUAUGGGGCGAUAUGCAAUUUAUGGGGCCAUAUCGAGCGAUAUAGGGCAGUAUGGGAUGAUACAGGCUUUAUGGGGCCGCAUACGGGGCGAUAUGGGGUAAUAUAAAAUUUAAGGGCCCAUAUAACAGAUAUACAGAAUAAUAUGGGAUUCAUGGGACCAUACAGGGCGAUAAAGAGCGAUACAACGUGAUAUAGGGCGAUAUGGGGUUUGUGGGGCCGUAUGGCAGAGAUGUGGGGCGAUGUGGGGCGAUGUGGGGCCGGCCCACCUUCCCGACGGGGAACUUGCGCAGGAAGUCGGCGCUGCGGUUGCUGUGUCCGAAGCGGAAGUGGGGCGGCGAGCUGAGGACGCGGAGCUGCGCCCCGCUGUACUGAGCCGCGAUCUGCGCCUUGAACGAGCGCCAGUUCUCGGGGUACGUGAACA